rnacentral:lncRNA from 1 species
GGAUGAAAUUGGAAAUCAUCAUUCUCAGUAAACUAUUGCAAGAACAAAAAACCAAACACCACAUAUUCUCACUCAUAGGUGGGAACUGAACAAUGAGAACACAUGGACACAGGAAGGGGAACAUCACACUCUGCGGACUGUUGUGGGGUGGGGGUAGGGGGAGCGAUAGCAUUGGGCAAUAUACCUAAUGCUAGAUGAUGAGUUAGUGGGUGCAGCGCGCCAGCAUGGCACAUGUAUGCAGAGGUACCAGCAUGGCACAUUGUGCACAGGUACCCUAAAACUUAAAGUAUAAUAAUAAUAAAUAAAUAAAUAAGUAAAAAAUGAUUCUCACUAAAUGUUAAUAAUGGUUAUUUUAAGAGUAGUUAGAAUUUGUGGUGGGUUUUUAUUUCUUUUUUUGUAAUUUUGUAUUGCUUUAAUUUUUCAAAACAAAGAUGUAUAAUUUAUAGAACAAUAGCAAAGUCGUUACUCCAAGAUCAAUAAAGGAAGAGACCACUAACAGGAAAAACAACGGAAAAGCAAGUGUGGAAUAUAUGGGACCAAAGAAUUUUCUAGCCUGUCUCCUGUAUCUGCAGCUGGCUUCUUUCAAACUGUAAGCAGCUCUAGAUGAUGAUUGAGCAGCUGCACUUCUUGAUCGAGGAUGAGAGGAUGAAAGGCAACUGGAG